rnacentral:rRNA from 1 species
UACGUAGGGUGCGAGCGUUGCCCGGAUUUAUUGGGCGUAAAGAGCUCGUAGGCGGUCUGUCGCGUCGGCUGUGAAAACCCGGGGCUCAACCCCGGGCCUGCAGUCGAUACGGGCAGACUAGAGUGUGGUAGGGGAGACUGGAAUUCCUGGUGUAGCGGUGAAAUGCGCAGAUAUCAGGAGGAACACCGGUGGCGAAGGCGGGUCUCUGGGCCAUAACUGACGCUGAGGAGCGAAAGCGUGGGGAGCGAACAGG